rnacentral:rRNA from 1 species
AGAGUUUGAUCCUGGCUCAGAACGUACGCUGGCGGCACGCCUAACACAUGCAAGUCGAACGAAGUAGCAAUACUUAGUGGCGAACGGGUGAGUAUAAUGUGGGUAUCUGCCCUUUGGUCUGGAAUAACACGGGGAAACUUGUGCUAAUACUAGAUAAGCCUUUACAGGGAAAGCUUUAGCGCCAAUGGAUGAGCUCACACUUGAUUAACUAGUUGGUAGGGUAAUGGCCUACCAAGGUUGCGAUCNNUAGCUGAUCUGAGAGGAUGAUCAGCCACAUUGGGACUGAGACACGGCCCAGACUCCUACGGGAGGCAGCAGUGGGGAAUCUUGCACAAUGGGGGAAACCCUGAUGCAGCGAUGCCGCGUGAGUGAAGAAGGCCUUUGGGUUGUAAAGCUCUUUCGUCGGGGAAGAAAAUGACUGUACCCGAAUAAGAAGGUCCGGCUAACUUCGUGCCAGCAGCCGCGGUAAUACGAAGGGACCUAGCGUAGUUCGGAAUUACUGGGCUUAAAGAGCACGUAGGUGGUUAAAAAGUUGGUGGUGAAAUCCCAAGGCUUANCUUGGAACUGCCACCAAAACUUUUUACUAGAGGGUGAUAGAGGUAAGCGGAAUUUCUAGUGUAGAGUG